AUCUGGUCGGACUUAUCAAGACCAAGUUGAGAAGAUAAGCGUAUAUUUCUUCUUAUUCUUCUUCUUCUUCUUCUCCUCGUCUCUCUUUAUUUCCUCUGUUCUUCACGACUGCUGAUUCUGAGAGAAGUGUGAGAAUCAAUUUGAGAGGGUUAAUCGAUGAAGAUGUUAUGAUGAUGUAGGAGUUGGUGGUGUUUUUGAUCAUCAAGGAGCAUGAUUAAGAAUCAUCAGAGUUUUAUUUGAAGUAAUGAAUUGAAGAAAUCAAGUUAGGGUUUGUGUAGAACUGAGAGGUGAUUUGGGUUGCUGCUAGAUGAAGAAUAAAAGGGUUGUAGUUGAAUUAGAUGUUUGAAGUUGAUUCAGUGGCGAUUCAUUGAUGAGAAAUUAUUAGGGUUUUCUGUAGUUUGAUUUGGAAUUCAAUUAAGAGUAAAUUGAGGAGUUAGAAGAUGUAUUGGGGUUGGGUGUUGAACUAAUCGAAGGUUAGGUUGAAACUACAUAUCGUAUUAAGAUUUCAGGUGAUGAAUUAUGUCUCUGUGAAUCAGGGUUUGAGUUGGAAAUUCAGAUGAAGAACCAAAAGAUGAAGUUGUUGGUUAGGGGAUUGAAUUAAAAGAUAGGUUUGAUUGUUUUGAAGAGUUUGUUUGAAGUUUGAGUUUUAAUCAGAGAAAAGAAGAUUUAAGAAUGGAAUUAGGGUCCAAAUACAAUCUGUUGAAGAUGGAAUUUAAGAUGGAGAAGCUAGUGAUUGAGAAAGUAAGAGGCGGGUAUUUGGUGUUGAUUAGAGUCGAACUGAGUUAGAAGUGCAGAUUGUUUAAUUGGCUGAGAUUGGACUUGGGUCUAAGGUAAUACUUUAAUUUGUAAUUGAAUUGAAUUAUAUGAUUGAGUCUUGACUGGAUUGAAGGUUUACGUGGAGCUGUUGGUGAUGAAAUUUCAAAGGUAUUGGUAUGUUGUUGUCGGUAAGUACAAACGGUGAUGAUAUUGGUCUGGUGUUGUGGUUAUUAGCAUUAUGAUUGCAGUAGAUAUGUUAGAUAACCAAUGGAGCUUUAAAUGUUUAGAGAUGCAGAUUUAAAGUAUGUUGUACUGUGAUUAGUAAUGGAGAUGAAAUUAGAGUUGGUCUGGUUGUUUAAUUUGAGAUGAAAUGGUGUUAAGACAUAAGUUAUGCAGGUGUUAGUGUUGCUCAAGAAGAACUGAUAUGUGUAUGAAUUAUUUAUGCUGAGUAGUAUUCAACUGUAGGAUGGUGGAAGUGGUUGUGUAAAUUACAGGAUAUGGAAGAAGUUACAGAUUUGAUAAAGAUGUUGACUUGUGGUAUUGAAAGAAGAUGUAGUUGGACUGGGUUGUUGUUGAUCUGAGUUGCAUAGGUAGUGUUGGGUUGGUGGUGUUAUUUUGAAGUGGAUUUGCUAGUAGUUGUGAAGUUGUAGUUGAUAGUUUACUAAAAGCUCGCAACUACUGUUUCAGGAUGUGCAAGCUGAAGUAGAUUGUACUGCAAAUGCAGAUCAAGUUUCAGAGACAGAUCAGAGUUGUGCAGCGAAAGCUCCGAGGAAUUGACUUCGUUAAUUAGUUAACUUCUGCUAUGUUUAUUAUGUUGUGUAUUCUAUUUGCAAACCAAAUGACUAUUGUAUAUGUAUCAAUUGAGAGGAAUUCUUGUAUAUA